rnacentral:rRNA from 1 species
UGCAGUGGAGCGACGAACCAGACUUCGGUCUGGGGCAGAGCCGCGAACGGGUGAGUAACACGUGGGUAACGUGCCUCGAUGACCGGGACAACCCGAGGAAACUCGGGCUAAUACCGGAUGUGCUCACACCACAUCAGUGGUGUAAGUAAAGGUAGCUUCGGCCUCCGCAUCGAGAUCGGCCCGCGGCGCAUUAGCUUGUUGGUGGGGUAACGGCCUACCAAGGCGACGAUGCGUAGCUGGUCUGAGAGGACGAUCAGCCACACUGGGACUGAGACACGGCCCAGACUCCUACGGGAGGCAGCAGUGGGGAAUCUUGCGCAAUGCACGAAAGUGUGACGCAGCAACGCCGCGUGGGGGAAGAAGGCCUUCGGGUUGUAAACCUCUUUCAGUUGGGACGAAGUGUGAGCGGUGAAUAGCCGUUUCACAUGACGGUACCUUCACAAGAAGCCCCGGCUAACUACGUGCCAGCAGCCGCGGUAAUACGUAGGGGGCAAGCGUUGUCCGGAAUCAUUGGGCGUAAAGAGCGCGUAGGCGGCCCUGUAAGUCCGCUGUGAAAGUCAAGGGCUCAACCCUUGAAUGCCGGUGGAUACUGCAGGGCUAGAGUCCGGAAGAGGCAAGUGGAAUUCCUGGUGUAGCGGUGAAAUGCGCAGAUAUCAGGAGGAACACCGAUGGCGAAGGCAGCUUGCUGGGACGGUACUGACGCUGAGGCGCGAAAGCGUGGGGAGCAAACAGGAUUAGAUACCCUGGUAGUCCACGCCGUAAACGAUGGGCACUANUGUGGGGAGGUGUCGACUCCUCCCGUGCCGAAGCUAACGCAUUAAGUGCCCCGCCUGGGGAGUACGGCCGCAAGGCUAAAACUCAAAGGAAUUGACGG